rnacentral:rRNA from 1 species
UACGUAGGGUGCGAGCGUUAAUCGGAAUUACUGGGCGUAAAGCGUGUGCAGGCGGUCUGUUAAGUCAGGUGUGAAAUCCCCGGGCUUAACCUGGGAAUUGCGCUUGUUACUGGCAGACUAGAGUGCGUCAGAGGGAGGUGGAAUUCCACGUGUAGCAGUGAAAUGCGUAGAGAUGUGGAGGAACACCGAUGGCGAAGGCAGCCUCCUGGGCUAGUACUGACGCUCAUGCACGAAAGCGUGGGGAGCAAACAGG